rnacentral:piRNA from 1 species
UAGAUGAAAACAUCUGCUCAAAGUCAGCCA